CUUUCAACAACGGAUCUCUUGGUUCCAGCAUCGAUGAAGAACGCAGCGAAAUGCGAUAAGUAAUGUGAAUUGCAGAAUUCAGUGAAUCAUCGAAUCUUUGAACGCACAUUGCGCCCCUCGGCAUUCCGGGGGGCAUGCCUGUUCGAGCGUCAUUGCACCCCUCAAGCGUAGCUUGGUCUU
rnacentral:rRNA from 1 species